GCUAUAAAUUUGGAUAAGUGCAAUAGUAGCGAGGCACAGCAGUCAAAACAUCUUUGUGGGUCUAUUUGCUGAAAAGCGCCAAAAUGCAACGAAUUUUGGCCGUCAUCUUCUUUCUCGCCGUCUUCCUCCACCAAUCGCAGGCGCAAUGCAAUUCCACGAAUUGCGUAGGGCCGGCCUGCAAAUGCAUGUCCACGUCUCCACCAGGCGGUUUAAGCCUGGCGAAUACCCCUCAAUUGGUUUUUUUGGCGUUUGACGGUGCGAUUACGGUGACCAAUUACAUCAACUACACAUAUCUGUUGAACGGCCACGUCAAUCCCAACGGCUGCCCGAUUGGAAUGACUUUCUUCGUCUAUCACGACUACAACGACUACACCCUGACCCACAGUCUCUACUUCAAAGAGAAUGAAAUUUCAACCCACAGCAUGUCCCACUCAACUCCAUCGUCAGACUGGGCUUACAAGUCAGUGUCCGAGUGGACUGAUGAAAUUGGUGGAAUCCAAGAGGCUCUGGCCAAAUUUGCGAACAUUCCCAAAGCUGAAAUUCGGGGUGCACGAGCGCCGUUCUUGCAGUCAAGUGGUGACGCUACUUUUACGGCCAUGAAGAAUCUUGGCAUGUUCUACGACUGUUGCUUCCCAGAAACUAGUGUUAACCGUACUAAUCCCCCUAUUUGGCCUUACACUUUGGAUCAAGGAUUUCAACACGAGUGCACGAUCCCACCUUGUCCCAAAGACAAAUACCCCGGUAUCUGGACAGUCCCAAUGGUUGCCUUAAAUCGUAAUGGGCACAUUUGCAGUACGGCAGAUGCCUGUGACAAACCGAAUACCUUGGAUGAAACUUAUCAAUACUUAAUGGACAAUUUUCAACGUCACUAUAUAAUACAAGCAAGGCUCCAUUUGGCAUCUACUUGACUGCUAACGCCUGGUUCCAGGAUGCCGAGUACCGUUUGCAGGGUUACAAGAAGUUCCUCGAUGCAAUUGUAUUAAACGAUGACGUUUACGUUGUCCCCAUUGCCAGAGGAUUGGACUGGAUGAAAAAUCCUAAGCCGUUGGCCGAAGUCCCAAACUUCUUCUCUUGUCCAACCAUGACCCAGACUCCUUGCUUGGAUUAUUCAUGCUACUAUGAAGACGAUUUCUCUCCUGUCGGCCCG
rnacentral:misc_RNA from 1 species